rnacentral:rRNA from 1 species
UACGAAGGGGGCUAGCGUUGCUCGGAAUCACUGGGCGUAAAGGGUGCGUAGGCGGGUCUUUAAGUCAGAGGUGAAAUCCUGGAGCUCAACUCCAGAACUGCCUUUGAUACUGAGGAUCUUGAGUUCGGGAGAGGUGAGUGGAACUGCGAGUGUAGAGGUGAAAUUCGUAGAUAUUCGCAAGAACACCAGUGGCGAAGGCGGCUCACUGGCCCGAUACUGACGCU